rnacentral:rRNA from 1 species
UGCCAGCAGCCGCGGUAAUACGAAGGGACCUAGCGUAGUUCGGAAUUACUGGGCUUAAGGAGUUCGUAGGUGGUUGAAAAAGUUGGUGGUGAAAUCCCAGAGCUUAACUCUGGAACUGCCAUCAAAACUUUUCAGCUAGAGUAUGAUAGAGGAAAGCAGAAUUUCUAGUGUAGAGGUGAAAUUCGUAGAUAUUAGGAAGAACACCAAUGGCGAAGGCACUCUACUGGAUCAUUACUGACGCUGAGAAACGAAAGUAUGGCUAGCGAAGAGGAUUAGAUA